AACUAUAACAGUCGAUGAGGAUAGGUUAUGUUUGUAAAGUCUCUGAAACGGUUCCGAAUUGCGGGCUUUUCAAAACGAUUAUAGGUUUUAGACUUAUGUCUAUGACUUGUUUUGUGAGCCUGUUUCUGAUUCUGGUUUGACCAGUGUGGAGUAUAUCGCGGCCAUUUUCACCACCUUUCAAGCGGUAUUUUUUUAGCGUACUGAGGCUG
rnacentral:snoRNA from 1 species